UCAUGAAAAUGGCAUGAAUAGUGUGGGAUUUCUCUAAGAUUGUUGAUAUUAAUUCCAUUAGACUCUUAUGUGAGUGAAGACGAAGACUUCCCCUGAGUAAGUUCAGACAGCUUGUGAUAACAUUUCUACAUCGAUUCCUCAGGAUUUAACUAUAUAUUCUUGAAAACAUCUCAAUUUUAAAUGUUUCUUUCAGAUGGUGAAUUAAACAGAGAUAGCCCUUCAACAGGUUGAACUCAGCAUAUGCUGAGUCCGAAAUGGAAAUGAUGGAGUUAGAGAACCAUACAACAAUGGUUACCAUGCCAGCAAUGGUUCCUUUUGAGUUUCUGACAGAAGAUAGUGGUUUUCAUCCAAAUAAGUCAACUACUCUACCCCAUCCCUAAGCCACUUGUAUGGAAAGAAAAAGAGGAAGAAGCCAGUACUGCGACUGCGUAAGCUUCCCCCAGCAUCACCCGCUAUGAGAUGUGUGGCAGCUGAGACCCGGGAACUGCUCAAGGGCACCAGGCCCCAUCUGUCUGCACUCACUCACCUUCCUCAGGUACUCGCAUGGGCAUGUCACUGACUUUACGUGCUGCUGCAGCUCCUUGGUGAGCUGGCCCUGGUCAUGGGACAGGAACU